rnacentral:misc_RNA from 1 species
AAAUUUAUUAUGAACGGAUUAUGUGCGAAUAAACUCUAUUUUCAAAAUCAAAAUUUUCAUAAAUGUGUGCAAAGCAUGACUCUAGAAAGAUGUAAAUCACAAACCCCAAAGCUAAUGCUGGAACUUGUUAUAAACAAAGCUAUAAUAAAAUAUUCAAAAUGGCCCUGUUGCAUGAACACUUAUAAAGAGACGUAAUAAGCAAACUA